ACAUGUUUGCCCGCUGUCGUGACGUUGACAGCCAAUUGAAACCCUGCACAGCAAAACGGGCGUGACUUGUUAGAACAGCUGCUGGGGGCUACGGUGAGGGGCCAGAGAGCCGAACUCUUGGUUGGUUGCUUGAUAGGGAAACAACAACAACAAGCUAGCAAGGCAUCAUGAGGGUCCCUGAAACACUGAUUUGGACCGCUUUUCUCAUCCAGAAGGUGGUGGGAGAGUACGGCAUGGCUCAUUUCAGCGACAAGGGCAAGAGCAAAGGAAAGGAUUAUUGCAUCUUCUUCAACUCACAAUGGGCACGUCUACCUCAGGACCUCAACAAGGCAUCCCGUCUUCAGAUCUAUGACCUGACAACAUCGGUCCUGUGCUCGCCCUCCGACGUCCCGGAUGGAGGUUUCCCAAAUCGCAUCCCCAUGGUGAUGAGAGGCAACUGCACAUUCUAUGAAAAGGUCCGACUGGCCCAGAUUAACGGCGCCAAGGGCCUUCUCAUCGUCAGCAAGGACAGACUGACACCACCAGCAGGAAACAGGAGUCAGUAUGAGGAGAUUGACAUUCCUGUAGCACUGCUCAGCUACUCUGAUAUGCUGGACAUAGGCAAGACCUUUGGUAAAGGAAGACUGGUAGCCAUGUACGCACCCAAUGAGCCAGUGUUGGACUACAACAUGGUGAUCAUCUUUUUGAUGGCAGUAGGAACUGUUGCCAUUGGAGGUUACUGGGCGGGCAGCAGAGACAGCAAAAAACGCUACAUGAAGCACAAGCGGGACGACGGUGCUGAGAAGCAGGACGAGGAGACCGUAGACGUCACCCCCAUCAUGACCUGUGUGUUCGUGGUCAUGUGCUGCAGCAUGCUGGUGCUACUCUACUUCUUCUAUGAUAGCCUGGCCAUUUGGGUCAUAGCCAUCUUCUGUGUGGCCUCCUCUGUCGGCCUCCACAGCUGUCUCUGGCCGUUUGUCAGGAGACUCCCUUUCUGCAAGUGCAGGGUUCCAGAGAACAACUUGCCAUACCUGCACAAACGGCCGCAGAUCCGCAUGUUGCUGCUGUCGGCCUUCUGCAUUGGUGUCAGCAUCACCUGGAUGGUGUUUCGCAAUGAAGACCAGUGGGCGUGGGUGUUACAGGACGCCCUGGGGAUCGCCUUCUGUCUCUACAUGCUCAAAACAGUCAGACUCCCCACAUUUAAGGCUUGCACUUUAUUACUGUCGGUCCUUUUUGUCUAUGAUGUUUUCUUCGUAUUUAUUACACCCUUCUUUACAAAGAGUGGGGAAAGUAUAAUGGUGGAGGUAGCGGCUGGUCCCUCUGACUCCGCCAUGCAUGAAAAGCUUCCAAUGGUGCUCAAAGUGCCACGGUUAAACCCCUCUCCUCUGGCUCUUUGUGACCGUCCCUUCUCUCUCCUGGGCUUUGGUGACGUCUUAGUACCAGGUCUGCUGGUGGCGUACUGUCACAGGUUUGACAUUUUAACCCAAUCCUCCAGGAUCUACUUCGUGGCCUGUACGAUCGCUUAUGGCAUCGGCCUGUUGAUCACCUUCGUGGCCCUGGCCUUCAUGCAGAUGGGUCAGCCAGCAUUGCUCUACCUGGUGCCUUGUACUCUGCUCACCAGUCUCUCUGUAGCACUGUGGCGCAGGGAGUUGCCCCAGUUCUGGACUGGAAGUGGAUUUGUGGUGAAUACCAGUUUGAUAUGACCGUCUACUGCAGAAGAACAAAAAAACAAACAAUCAACAAAAGAAAACUAAAAAAAACCUAGUGUAAAAUAACAUGCGAGUAAAGUAGAAUUUUAAGCCUCCCAUAGUGCUAUCACCUAUCAACUGUACACAAACUGCAGCACCGCAGACGGAGGAUCAUUUGACUAAACUGGAGCCACAAACCACAGAAGACUCACCCCCCUUCCCAUCUCAGGAGACGCCCCCAGCGGAGAGAGCAAAAGAGGAAAACAAAUCAAACUGAAAGGACGUCUAGUACGGCAUUUUACAUUUCACUUCAUGUUUUACUUGUUGCGUUUUUCUUUUUCUACAAUGUGUCUCGGUCAAUGGACAUUUUCACUAUGGAUGUUUAUUUGCACUUUGUGCAAGGGGAAGAGCAGAGGAGAUCUCUGCUUUCUGAAUGGCGGGCUCAGUGGGGCACCAGGAUUGGACACACAAGGUUGAGGCAUUGAAACUGACAAACACACCAAGUAUUAACACCUGCACAGCAGCCCCAACACCUUCUUCUAUUAUCGGUCUGUACCACCUCUAAAGGGAACAGAAAGCCUGUUGAACACUAAAUACUCCCACAACACUAAGCUGAGGCUCUGAAGAGCUUUAAAGGCCCAGUCACACCAGUGUUUAAAACAGCAAAAUAUCAAUUCAGUUAAAUGGAAUCUCUGCGAUAAGCAGAUUUGUUCACACGGGCAAGGUAAAUCAACGCUAGUUUUUUCUUACACUAUACUUUGGUGAGCCAUCGCAACUUAACGUGCUCCAUCCAAUCCACUUAUAAUUAGCCUCCUCCUGAUGUAUAAAAGUUCCACAAAAAAAAGGUAGGGUUUGCAGACGGUUACAUUGAGCAGCAGCUAUAAGUCGUAGUUGAGCAACAGAAAAUUAACCAGCAAUUAUUUUGAUAAUCAAAUAAUUAUUUUACACAUUUUUUAGACCAAAUAUUUGUAGGUUUUAGCUUCUCAAUUGUGAGAAUGUGAAGCUUUUCUGUCUUAUACAUGAAAAUGAACUGAGUAUCUUUGGGUUCUGAACUGUUGAUCAGAAAAAUAAGACAUCAGCCAGGAACUGCAGAUGAAAAUUAGCCUGCAUGGCUAAAUCCAAUAUAUUUACACACCGGACUCAGGAGCUCAUGUUAAUGUUCAUUGUCCCUUAAAUAAAUAAACAAGCAAGUAAUUAAAACUGGCAAAAACAAGACAAACAAUUGGAUUAAUAGAGAACGGGACAUCCCGCAGAUUUAUAAAUAAUGGAAACUCUACAAGACUAGGAGUCAAUGAUACAAAUAUACAUUUUGACUCAAAUGCUUAUUUCCUUCUUCAAAAGUUUAUCAAAUGAAGUGGUGUACAUCCUAAAAACACCAUUCCAGAGGGAUUUAAUGCCCGUAUAUAGAUACAAUAAAAACAAGCUUCAGGAUAAAUUGCUUCCGGUUACUGUAGCUCACCGGGGGCAGUAGUUUACCACCUACCCAUACAAGUAGUCACCAAGCCUUAAAUGACCAAAUAUUUACAGUACCUGUGCUGCUUUCUGGUGUGACAGGGCCUUAAAAAAGGUCCUAGUAUUCUUGGAAAGCUUUUCUGAAAAGCAUACAAAUACACACUACAUAACAAGCCAGUAUAGCGGUCUUUAUCCCUCCGUUACAUUAUAAAGUACACACGUGUCACAAUGUAAUGUACAGCAGUGAUGGCAGAAGUGUUACUUUAAAAUAUGUAAUGGUGGUUGACUGAGCCAAAGCUAUUAAUACUUUUUGUUUGACUGAAGCAUUUGUUGAGGUUUUUUCAUCUUACGUUUGAUAUAUUUUGUUUUGCAUGCUAUAAUUUAGAUUUUACCCUUUCUAUAAAACCCGUGUAUAAUCUAUAGAGCAGACUUUGUAUACGUUAUUGGUGGUGCCGCAGUUAAAACUCUGGCAUCGCUGUUCUGUCCCCCUCUGCAAUUAUUCAUGUCGUCUUAAGAGUUGGGUUUUUGGCCUUAUUGUGUCCAUGUUGGGAGGUAAAGCAGAACGUGUCAAGUGUAAAAGUUGCUUUGAGUACUGAUCUCUAAAUGAUUGGUGUGCUGCAGUUUAAUGUACGAGUUGAGUGAGUGACGGGUUGUGUUAACCAACGUACCAGGAUUUGUUUGUUUGAAGUAUUUGCACAAUAUUUUUUAAUUCAUGGGCUGACAGACGUAGUUGGUUCAUGUCUGUAUAUGUUAAUGUCGUGUCAUAAAGGGUUAAAAAAAGAAGAAAACCAAGGUAGACAUAUAUCUAAUAUUCAUCCUGCUUUUGUUUUGAAAGUGCAUUUCUGAUCUGAGGGUUUCAUCUUAAACACCAGACGCCGGCAGUCACUUCACUCUGUAAAUCUGUAGGGAUAGAUUUCUGCUCAUCAUUUAUUUAUGAUGCCCAUUUACCAAAUUCAACACUCCUGCGUAGAAUUCGAGGUCAAAAGGUAAUAAUACAUUUUGUCAGAGGUGAAAUGAGAGCAUCUCAGUUGUCUGGAUGUGCUCUCGCUGAUUCAAAAGCAACGUUUUCCAGGACGUGAGAUUAUUCAUUCACCAGCAUAGUUUGUUGUCACCAAGUGGUUUUCAAAGCCUCUUGUUGAGGAAUACAUAUAAUAAAGAAACAUCGUAUUUGA